GACGAACGCUGGCGGCGUGCCUAAUACAUGCAAGUUGAGCGCUGAAGGUUGGUACUUGUACCGACUGGAUGAGCAGCGAACGGGUGAGUAACGCGUGGGGAAUCUGCCUUUGAGCGGGGGACAACAUUUGGAAACGAAUGCUAAUACCGCAUAAAAACUUUAAACACAAGUUUUAAGUUUGAAAGAUGCAAUUGCAUCACUCAAAGAUGAUCCCGCGUUGUAUUAGCUAGUUGGUGAGGUAAAGGCUCACCAAGGCGAUGAUACAUAGCCGACCUGAGAGGGUGAUCGGCCACAUUGGGACUGAGACACGGCCCAAACUCCUACGGGAGGCAGCAGUAGGGAAUCUUCGGCAAUGGACGAAAGUCUGACCGAGCAACGCCGCAUGAGUGAAGAAGGUUUUCGGAUCGUAAAACUCUGUUGGUAGAGAAGAACGUUGGUGAGAGUGGAAAGCUCAUCAAGUGACGGUAACUACCCAGAAAGGGACGGCUAACUACGUG
rnacentral:rRNA from 1 species